UACGUAGGGGGCAAGCGUUGUCCGGAAUCAUUGGGCGUAAAGAGCGUGUAGGCGGCCUCGUAAGUCUGCUGUGAAAGUCCAGGGCUCAACCCUGGGAUGUCAGUGGAUACUGUGAGGCUCGAGUCCGGAAGAGGAGUGUGGAAUUCCUGGUGUAGCGGUGAAAUACGUAGAUAUCUGGAGGAAUACCGGUGGCGAAGGCGGCUAUCUGGCCAUGUACUGACGCUGAGACACGAAAGCGUGGGGAGCAAACAGG
rnacentral:rRNA from 1 species